rnacentral:rRNA from 1 species
AUUGAACGCUGGCGGCAGGCCUAACACAUGCAAGUCGAACGAGUGGCGGACGGGUGAGUAAUGUCUGUGAAACUGACUGAUGGAGGGGGCUAACUACUGGAAACUGUAGCUAAUACCGCACACCCUCAGAUGUGACCAGAUGGGAUUAGCUAGUUGGUGGGGUAACGGCUCACCAAGGCGAAGACCCCUACCUGGUCUGAGAGGAUGACCAGCCACACUGGAACUGAGACAGGGUCCAGAGUCCUACGGGAGGCAGCAGUGGGGAAUAGUGCACAAUGGGCGCAAGCCUGAUGCAGCCAUGCCGCGUGUAUGAAGAAGGCCUUCGGGUUGUAAAGUACUUUCAGCGGGGAGGCGUUACCCGCAGAAGAAGCACCGGCUAACUCCGUGCCAGCAGCCGCGGUAAUUC